rnacentral:rRNA from 1 species
GACGAACGCUGGCGGCGUGCUUAACACAUGCAAGUCGAACGGAAAGGCCCCUUUGGGGGUACUCGCGUGGCGAACGGGCGAGUAACACGUGCGUAACCUGCCCUUGCCUUCGGGAUAACUUCCGUAAACUGGGGCUAAUACCUGAUAGGAAUCCUUGCUGCAUGGUGGGGGUUGGAAAGCUUCGGCGGGUUUGGAUGGACUCGCGGCUUAUCAGCUUGUUGGUGGGGUAGUGGCUUACCAAGGCUUUGACGGGUGGGCGGCCUGCGGGGGCGACCGGCCACAAUGGGACUGGGAUACGGCCCAGACUCCUACGGGAGGCAGCAGGGGGGAAUAUUGCACAAUGGGCGGAAGCCUGAUGCAGCAAAGCCGCGGGCGGGAUGACGGCCUUCGGGUUGUAAACCGCUUUCAGCAGGGGCGAAGCUUGUGGUGACGGUACCUGCAGAAGAAGCACCGGCUAACUACGUG